rnacentral:lncRNA from 1 species
GAAAAUAAACUGAUGUACUAAUUGCUUUUUGCAAAUUUCUUUCGAUUUCCUCAUUCUUCCUUUGAGCAGAAAAAUCAUGUCAUACUUAUAGAUUUCUUUUGGGAUACAUUCAGAUUUGGAGGAGCACCUUAGACAUGUUGAUGUAAGAUUUUGGUAAUAUACAGUAUUUUCAGUGGUAUAAGUCAGCAUCAUUUAUUCCAUCAAGGACAAAAAUUGUACUAUGUAGGUCGUGUUUCUUAUUUUUCUGAUGAUUUUAGGAUGUUAGUGUCUAUCUAGGAGCAGCUCCUAUCGUUGAAUGUCUUCAGAAAUUCAGACCAAAUGUCACUAUUACUUCUCAAGUUGCUGAUGCUUCCUUAUUUUUGGCUCCAAUGGUUUUGCUAGUUGGUGUCUUAACAGGUACAUCAAUGGCCAAACUAAUCAUCCUAUGGUUAAGGCAUUGAAAGAUACGGUGAGGUCGACCAAAAGUGAUGAUUUACUGCCACAGGUAUGUUAAGGCUAAAUUCUUCCUUCAUUUUGCAUGAUCUCGUAAUUACACGAGUUUGAUAAUAAGACAUAAAGAAAAAUUCAUAUUCCGAAAUUUACGUAUAAGUGAUAAUAUUCCAAUGUGCAUGUGAGAUGUCGUCAAACAUUUAAGAUCAACAAUAACUGGCAUAAAGUAGUUUAGUAGUGCUCCAAAACCAACUAAACAUCCGUCCUUCCCAUGAUUGAUGAAUGAUGAGUGGCUCCGAAGUUCUUACAUAUAUGAUUUACUCUUGGGAGUCUGAAAGUGAUGUUACUUCAAUGUCAUGGAUAUAUUUAGUAGAUUCUUAUUGCAAAAAGUAAUAUGACAACAUCGUUUCAUGGGAAUGGAGUCAUUCCAUUAAUACUAUCAUGGAGAGCUAGAGCGACUGAUUCGGGGCUAAAGAUACAAUAUUUCCUAGCUUACAACCUUUAACAUUUUUAAAGUUGUGCCACGUUGAGAUUAUAAUGGCUCUAGAUGGAUUAUUGAAUUUCUACUGUUUCUAUUUUUCCCAUUAAGUAUUUGCUAUAAACGUACUUCUCAUGCAUUGUAUUCAUUCACAUGUGCAUUUACUCAUAACUCAGACGACAUUAUAUACGUGUAUAUAUAUAUGUAUAUAUAUGUAUAUGAAAUAUGGGAAAAGGUUAUGGCGUUAUAUACGCACCACCACCUGAUCAGCUGGUAUACGUUGAUGAUUUACCCACAGUGGCCGAGAUGAUAUGAUGGAACGCCCUCAGAGGCGUGAUGAUGUUAUGGCAUUAUAUACGCGUAUAUAUAAAUAUGGGAUAAGGGAAAGGUUAUGGCGUUAUAUACGCACCACCACCUGAUCAGCUGGUAUACGAUUAUGAGUUUGCCCGCAGUGACUGAGAUGAUAUGAUGGGAUGCCCUCAGAGGCUUUAUGAUGUUAUGUACAUACGGACCUAUGCAUUACAUGACAUUCAUAUGCAUAUGCAUGACACUAUAAGUAUUUCAUGAUUUACAGAGUCAUUCAGACUUACAGAUAUAGACAAUCAGUUUGACGAGCCCUCACAGUAGACGAGGUUUUCAUUUAGCGAAGGAUUGGUAAGACUCCACCUCAUUCGGAGUACAGCCGAGUCUAUGAGUCAUCGUGUCAGAGAUUGUUCUCUACAGACUUAUGGGUAGGCCGGUACCCUAUCCCAUUUGAUAUCGAAUAAAUCCUAGAGGCUUUGUAGACAGAGGUUCAGUUUGUACAGUAUGUCAGAGGCCUUGACUGCCCAUAUAUAUUCAUGUUUUAAGAAAAAUGGUUUAGUGAUACAGUAUUUUCCACUUACAAUUUUAUUUUAUGAGUUGUGUCCAUAUUGGUCCACGAUAGUUAUAAAAGGAAUGAGUGAGUUACAUAGUGGUUCACUCGGGCCACUACAGUACUGGGUGCCAGUCACGCCUCCCCAGGUUCGGGGCGUGACAACUUACAUCAUGUACUAGCUCCUUAUCUAUCAAUAACUUCCCGGGCAUGAACCUUUACUUCCCUUUUUUUUGACGUUGUGCUUACAUAAUGUUCUGCAAUUGUAGCAUAUCUGUAGGCUUUGCAUAAGUAUAAUCUCAUCCCUUUUUCAUUCAUUCUUUUUCACAUUCUUCCUUUACCAUUCCAUAAUUACUAGAACUGCUUAAUUCUGACUUAAUGCCACAUUACUCCAUAUUCCCCCCUUUAGGGGAGUACUAAGAUUUAGUACACCGACGAUCUACCUGUAGAUGUUUUACCUCUUCAUCUUUGGCGUCUUUUUACAUCAUCAAUGACCUUUACUCGCCUUGCAGUAAUCCUUUUGUACCAAGGAUAACAAAAUUCCUUACUCACAAGGCUGCCACUUAGUAUAAUUGGCACAUACAGUCCCUUAAACUUAACUUUGCUCACAUUGCUUGCUUUAGGAAAGCGUCUGCCUGAAUGACCAUUCUCAGAAUUUGUCAUGAAUCUUCUUCUGUUGACCAUUCUAUUAUUGUCGGAAUGAAAUUUGAAAUUCCCAUGAUGCUGACUAUUAUCAAAUCACCCCGUCCCUAAUUCACGGUUAGGUUAUCUUGUUCACCAAUCCAUACUGGUUUCUAUUACUCUCGGGUCUAACUUUUUCCUUUUGGUAAUCGCGUCAGAGUUGCGAACUUAUUUCUCGAAAUGAAUAUAUGACUUUAUGUCCUAUGCUCUUUUGUUGUCUCAAGGCUUAUCACCUCUUGUCUUUUCCUUUACUUGACUAUAGAUUCUAUAAUACUAUCAUCUUUUUGAUCUACCGUUGUCAUCCAUGUAUCACAUCUUACUCAUAAUGCAUCAGUAACUCUCUCCUUAUUUACUGCUAACAUUUAUAUCUAUUACUUUAUUCCAAAAACUUGAACAAGACAUUCUUUUGUUUUCCACUCCCCUUUCUCCACCUACUGGCUCUUCAGGUUGCCUAACACUCUUUCUCUACUAGGGACGGGAGCCAUACCAAGGUAAUAUUUAUCUCUUCGAGGCUUUCAGUGCCUAUCUUUGUAGUACUUAUAUCUAGCUGUACCAUCUUAGAGUGCACUGGCUGGGUGUCUCACAAGGAAAUCCGUUAGCACCUUUGUAAUAUCCUUCGGAGAUGUCAACUAACGCAAACCAUCCAUUCAUCAUUUUGGGUUACUCUAACCCCAGCCGGAUCCUACUAUCUUGUCCUUCUCUUAAACCAUAUAUGUUAGCUCCCAUAAGGCAUGACUGAGAUAGGUGUGGCCGAUUGUACGUACAUCUAUUACUGUUGAAGGUAAUUCAAAAUGCUUAUAUCUCCCUUCCUGAAUAGUAAAUAAUGAUAAUCUUUAUUAACUGGGUACCUCGUAUCCUUCUUUACCUUGUUUCUUUUACUUGUUGCAACUUUUGUCUAACUUUCGGUUCUGUCACUCCUUUUUACCGUAAGAGUGGAUAAAUAUUAUUUCCUAAAAGCUCCUUAUCAAGAACCGUACACUUUUUAGUACACGCAUAAUCUGCUGAAAACCUCACAUUUACUCAUCAUAAGAAAGGUGCAGAAUUGAGUUCCUCUAACUCAACACUUCCAUAGACAUAUCUCUUAUCAACCGUCUUUCUGGAUGUAGGCAUCAUCGUAUUAUGAAUAAGAUAGACUAAAGAAAUUGAGUUCUAACAAUUGAGCUUUAUCACACGAUCUAGAGUAAGAAAAAAGAGUGACAGUCCUAAAUUCCCUGUAGCCUCCUGCUUAUAAGUGUGGUGCACAACACACCCAUAAGCAAGACUCUACUAGACACGGCUUGUAGACUCCCUAGGACAGAACUGCUCUAGUACCACUUUGUCACGCCCCAAACUUGGGGAGGCAUGGCUGGCACCCGAUGCCGCACUGGCCCGAGUGAACCACUCUACAAACCUUUUUUUUUUCUUCGUAACUAUCAUGGGCCAACAUGGCCACAACUCGUAAUGUACAAUUGUAAGUAGAAAAAUACUGUAUCACUGAAUCAUUUUUUCUUUAAACAUGAAUACAUAUGGGCCGUCAAGGCUUCUGACAUACUAUACAAAAUGAAUCUCUAUCUACAAAGCCUCUACGAUUAUUUGACAUCAAAUGGGAUAGGGUACCGACCUACCCAUAAGUCUGUAGCAAAAGUCUGACACGAUGACUCAUAGACUCGGUUGCACUCCGAAUGAGGUGGAGUUUUACCGAUCCUUCGCUGAAUGCCAAUCUCGUCUACAAUGAGGGAUCGUCAAACUGAUUGUCUGUACCUGCGGGCAUGAAACGCAGCGUCCCCAGAUAAAGGGACACCAGUAUGAAUAAUGUACCGAGUAUGUAAGGCACAUAAAUUAGUACAUAACAGAUAUGGAAGAAAUCUAGAGUAACCGACUCAACCUGUAAAUCUGGAUAAUUCUGUAAAUCAUGAAAUACGUAUAACGCCAUGCAUAUGCAUAUGAAUGUCAUGUCGUGCAUAGGUACAUAUUUCAUCUCGGCCACUGUGGGCAAAUCAUCAACGUAUACCAGCUGAUCUGGUGCGUAUAUAAUGCCGUAAUAUUUUCCCAAAUCUCAUAUACAUAUUAUAUAUAUAUAUAUAUAUAUAUANNNNNNNNNNNNNNNNNNNNNNNNNAUAUAUAUACGCAUAUAUAACGCCAUCUGAUCAUGAGUCAAUGUACAUGUAUAUGUGAAUGCAAUGCAUGAGAAGUACGUAUAGCUGUUUAAUAAGCAUAACACUAAAAAGAAGUCCGAGACACUUCAUCAAUACUAAUAAGAUAUAGCUGUUUUGCUUAAAGUAAAAGAAGGAAAAACUUAUUUUUUUUUUUUUAUACUUAUUAAACUUCUAUUCCUGAUAAAAGAAGAGUUAAUGACUAAUACUAAAAUUUCAAGGAAUCAAUUUCAGUCCAACUAUCAAAACUUACUAAUACCUAAUAAUGUAUAAUUCUUGAAUAAAAUCCAUUGAAGCUUUGAUCAUCAUGUGAAUUAUUAUUGAUGAUUUACGAAUAAUUUAAUUGUUCUACAAUGUUCUGCCAACUUAAUCAUUACACAUUUUCAUCUUUUCCAUCAACACACCAAUUUGGUCUUGGCAUAAACGAAGAUAAAUGGAAUAACCUUUUAAUAGACAUACAAAAUAACUAUUAUGCCUUUGAAUAAUAUCAUGAAGUAAAUUUUUUCAACUUACGUACUUUCUAAGACCCAUGAAAAAUGAUAUAAUAAUAUGACACAUGGGGAAUCAAGAAUAUAAGUAUCUCUAGCAUUUUUAUGAAUAGAAUUAUUUAUGGAAAUUACGUAUUUUGCUCGUUCCAUUUGUAUCGUAUGGAUAAUGCCAAAAGAAAGAAGGGAUAGUUUUAACAUACCUAGAGUAGAAAAAAUACAUAUGAUAUUUUAAAAAAGAUUACACUGUACUCCUUUAAAAUUGCAAAAUUAUACAUUGUUACUGUGCCACGAAAUCUUGUUGGUUGAAAAAAUCUAUUGUAGCGUUUAGAAAUGAAGAAAUCUUUCUUCACGUCUGGUUGUAGAAAAUUUGGUUGAAAGACGUCAUGUAAAAUGGCUAACUUUGGUUGAAAGAUAUUUUGAUGAAAGAAAGAAUUAUCAUUCUGAUGGUAUAGGUUUAGUCUUGUCACGACUCUAAAAUCGACCCGAUUGUGAUGGUGCCUAUCGUGAAAUUAGGCUAGCCAAUCCAAUUCCCGAAUUAACCAUUUAGUCAAUAACAAUCAUUUUUAAGACUUUAAUUGAUCAGUUAUCUCAUAAUGUAAGUCUAAAUGAACAGUCCCAUAUUUCGUACGUGGAAGUAAACCAUAAGUAAAUUGAUAUAAAACUCGAAAAUGAGAUGUUACAUCCCCGCAUUUUUGUACUUUGAUGUUUUGUCGUAAGUUAAUCGACAUAAGCUCGGGAAUGAGAUUAUUUUGGAAUUAUAAGUAUUAUGCUAUUUCAAACAAGGGAUAAGUAAAUUCGUGAAGGUGAGAGGGAAAGUAAAUCGAAGAAAAUGAGUUUCGUCGAAGUUUGUCAAUUUGGUAUAAAAUAUGGUUCGAGCUAUAAUACCCGAUAUUUAUGGACUAGUACCAUACAAGGUAUCACAUGGCCAUGAUAGUGAGGUGUAUAAGGUAUGCAAAGUGUAUUAAAAGUGAGUAGUAUUUUAAGUAAAUUGAGAUAAUUCCUAAUUAUGUAGAUAAUUGGGUAAUUAUUGGUUAAUGAAAAAUUAACAAAUCUUUUAAGGAAUUAAGUGGCUAAUGUUGGAUAAGCCUAAAUUUUCCCAACGUGGCAGCAAUACAUAAUUGUUUAGCGGCUCUUGAAUUCAAAUUUGCAAGAUGUCACAAUUAAGAGGGGUUAGUGCCUAAUCAUCACUUUAUACUAUCUUUUUCAUUAAUUCCAAUCCUUGAAUUGUAUAACUUUAGCAUUUCAUGUCAAAACCAAAAAACCUCUUCAAUUAUAUAGCUUUAACGUCAAAAAGCUUCAGCCAAGUUCAUGGAAUGCAAUAGCAACUUAUUGCAUCAAAACAUUUCGUACAGAGAAUAUUUUUACUAUAUAGCAUGAGAUUUUGUGAUUCUAAGAGAAUACAUUGCAAUCUUUCUCAAAGAAUAUCAUACGGAUUUUCCCCUACUUCGAUCCAUCAUUACGUGUUUUGUCACAAUCAAGGUGUGUUGGAGAGAUUGUUAAGAGAAUCGGCUCAGGUAUGUUAAGGUUAUCCCUUGUUUCUUUUGGCAUGAUCUAUACGACACAAACGAAACAAGCAAAUGCACAGUUUUCAUAAAUGACUCUAUUCAUAGAAGUAUUAGAGAUGCCUAUGUUCUUGAAUUCCCAUAUGUCUUAUUAUCCUAUUGUCUAUUCAUGGGUCUCAGAAAAUACGUAAGUUGAUAAUGUUUGUUUCAUGAUAUUAACCAAAGAUAUAAUGGUCUUAUGACAUACCGAGAGAUUUUAUUAACGUAUCUCAUAUGCAUUUCAUGCAUUUAUACAUGCACAUUGACCCAUGACCAGAUGACGUUAUAUACAUGUAUAUAUAUGUAUAUGGGAUAUGGGAAAGGUUAUGGCGCUAUAUACGCACCACCACAUGAUCAGCUGGUAUACGUUGAUGACUUUUCCCACAAUGGCCAAG